rnacentral:lncRNA from 1 species
CGGCCUGCAUCCUUUUCGAGAUAGAUGGUUCUAUGGAUGGUUUGGGUGAUGAUUAAUUUUGAUGAUAAUUAUACUUAUCACCUUGGGAGCUUAAGCAUAACCUAGCAACAUAGGUUUAUUAAUAAAAUAUGACCAACUAAAAAUGCUUAUCGCAGUCAAACCAAGUCAAACCUUUUGAGCCUUGCAUCCCCUCAUGUUAUACUUGUUGAGUAUGGUGCGGUCACACUUGCUUUACAUUCAACAAUCAAAAAUCCGGAUGGGUACCAGAUGGUGAUACAAAGUUGGAGUUCCCUGAGAUGUUCCAGGAGUACUAGGCGAGUGUACCCCCAGUAAACCGUCCCUGUGGAAAAUGGAGACCCAAAGUGAAGAUUAGGAUUAGUUUCCGCUAUGCUUUGUAAUAGAUGUAAGCCAUGUUGUAACUAUGUUCCGAUAUAUAAUAAAGCAUUGUUCUUGAUAUUCUCCAUAUUUGUCGUUAUAUGUGUCGUGUGGACAUCCUGGGCACACAUAUAGUUAAUGCUUGGUCUUCUUUGGAAAACCGCGUGCGACAGAUUGGUAUCAGAGCAAUAUUGACUGUAGGACGCUUUGCCUAGAUAGAAAUGGUCGCUUUUAUAAAGUUAUUUUGAUGAAAACUUGUCUUGUCUUCCUCCUCCUUGAUAUUUUCUAAAAGAAAAACAAAAUAUUUUGUCGAAGCCUCUUGUUUCUCGAAGAUCAAUGAAGAUGCAGGUGAAGUUGAAGAUUCUAAAUCAAUAAUAAACAUCAUCACCAAAGUUUAGGGGCUCAAGCUUGUCUAUCCUAAUGCCUUUAGGAUGUUGUUAUCCCCGAGCGCUCUUACGUUAGUAACGAUGCUAAGGUGAGUGAUAGUAUGCUUUCAUAAGGACCCUAUCAUGUUAGUGUGCUAUAGCUAGGUUGAUUGUUUUGUCAUGAUGAACUUGUAUGAUUUGGUUCUUUGUAAUGAGUGUAGCUUCAGCGAAUCUCGGGGCGAGAUUCCUGUUAAGGGGGGUAGAGUUGUCACACCCCAAAAUUCCUACUUUGGAAUGUGACUUAGAAAACACUAAAAACAAAACCAAAGAUUUUAUUAUUUUAUAAAAUGUUUCAACUUUAGUUAUGUUGUCGAUAUUUCAGAUAGUGAAAAAUAUGGGUUUCUAAAUUUUUUUACAAUUCAACUUAGUGGUUUGUUGCAUUCAUGCCGUUGCAUAGUGAUUAUGUUUGAAAAAUAAGUUUAUUUGUUUCCAAAUAUGCUUAGGGUUUGAUCCCAACUCCAUCUCCCCAAUACAAAAUCUAUCUCUAAAACUUCAAUCCAGUCUCUUGCCAAGAAUCUUACUUAAACCUAGCCUGACCAUCUCUCUUUUCUCUUGUUUUUGGACUCAUGUUACUUUUUGAUCAAGUCUUCCCAAUCCACUAAAUCUAUGUUAUAUGACCAACCGUUGUAUGUUUUCUCCAUCAACCCAAAUCAAUAUCAUGUCUUAUGCAGCCCAAUACUUUCUGUCACUAAUAGGCUUCAUUUCUCUUGUUAUAAACAAUAGCCCGUCUAGUAUCUUUUUGCUAAAAUAUUGGGCCUAUAUAUCGUUCCUUAUUCUCACAUGAACAUGCAACCAUCUAUUUUUUUGGUUGCCUCCUUCUCUACUCAUGAGAAACUACUACACAUAAUGAUCCCUCUAAAUUCUUUGCCCCUUAAUUCUCCUUUACUCCAUCAAUUUUCUUUUUCACAUGACAUAUAGGCAAUCGCCAUGCUCCUUCCCUUCCUUCACAUGAUCAGAACGCCCUCUCAUUUACCCUUGCACAACCACCGUUCUCUCAUGCAAAUAUAACAACCCUCGGUGCUUAUUAUUCCUCCAUAAUCCUUUCCAUAAUUGUACGAGUGAUGAGCAAACAUGAUUCAUCCUCUCCUUUUUUUGUGUUGCUCGACAAACAUAUGAUCUGCCCCUUCCUUGCUCAUGCAAAACAAAUGUUAUACAUAAUGUUUCUUAUAUCUUAAUUCCUUGGCCACACAUUUAAUUUCUUCAUUAGUCUCUCUAUCAAUCACACAUUACUUAUUUGAUGGCUGAUGGAACAGCCGUGGCUUCCUCCUCUCCCUUCUAUUUUUGCAUGCAUACAUGCAACAUAGUGCAUCCAUCUUAUCUUUCUCCCUCCCUCCAUCACUCACAAGCAAAUUGAUAGCACCUCCCUGGUCAGCAUCCUCUCCUAUGCCGCCCCUACUCUUCCUCCAUGCAAAAAUUAGAGCAGUAGUAAUUAUCUUCUCUUAAUUCCCUGCCCUCAUCUCCUUUGCAUGUCUCUCUUUAAUCCUCUGCACCUUGUUAUUCCCUCCAAUAUUUACUUCUCUCAUGCAUGCAAUGGCAGCCAUGAGUCUUUUCUCUCUUCUUCACGAUGCCAAUAUUUUUAUGUAAACUAAAUGCUGCACUUAAUUUCUAAGCCCAUAAUUUUCCCUAUCUCUUUCAUGUGGAGAAGUUUCCCCUCUCAUCUCUAUGGCGCCUUUCUCCUUCCUUCAUGCAAAAACUGAAGCACACAUCUCAUUCUUCCUCUCUGGAUUCCCAUGGUCACACCUCCCUAUUUAUUUCUGUUGUAGCAAUACUUCUUUACUCCUUUACAUGCACAUAACAACAGCAGCACCUCUUAUCUCUUCCUUUAUUUCAUCCAAUGCAGAAAUUGCAGCAAAUGCUUCUCCUUCAAAUCCCUUCACAACCCCUCCUUACUCUCCCUUACCACUCUCUCAUUGCAUUAGUAAGUGGCUCAUGAAAUAGCCAUGCAUCACCCCUUCUUCCUUAUUUCUUUUACGCUCGACACACACAGGAGCCGCCAGUCUUUUCCCAUGCAAAACAACUGCUACAAAUAAUGCUCUCCUUUGAUUCCUUUGAAUCACACCUGAUUUCAAUAGCACCCAUUUACUCCAUCGGUUUUACUCUCUUCAUUUGCAUGCAUCCAUGCAGGAAGUAACAGCCAUAUAUUUUUCUCCUCUCUUUCACGCACAAACCAGCAGACACUCUUCAAUUCUCCUUUGAUAACACCCUUUUAUUCCUUGGGUUUACUCUCUCCUCAUUUGCAUGCUCUCAUGCAGCAAACAACAGCUAUAAAUAUCCCCUCAUCUCCUCCUUUCUCUCCCCCACGCCACCACCAGAGAAGGACUCCUCAUCUCCUUCCCUUCCUCCAUUGUCCCAUCAGCCAGUACGCCUUCUACUCUUCCUCCACAUCUCGUACCUCCCCUGCUGCUCUUUCAACAUGACACCCUUUGUCCCUCACAUCUCCCUCUUGAUCUCCUUUGCACGCCGCAGAUCGUCCCCAAGGAGAAUUGCUGCUGCCUCGUCGACCCGUUGUCCUCGCAGCGAUGUCAUCACCACCGGCUACCGCUGACCCACACCAAACAGCAAGGUUGCCACUUCCUUUUGUCCUCCGAAUCAUCUGUUCUUGCUCCUCUUAACCAUAUCUUGAUCUCUCAUAUGGUGCAUGAUAUUUUGCAAGGAUGAAUUGAAGUUACCUCAACCGUCAGUGUCCCUAUCGUCACCAUUCUGCUACUGGCUGCCAUCAACUUGAUCAUCAGCUGCUAUAAUUUCCCAAUGUGAGAACCCACACAUUCCACCUUUGCCUGAUGUGUUGUUCUCAGUUGCAACUCAUAAUCCAUAGUUCAAGAAUCGGUCAACUUUGAUGAAGUUUCCACAAGAUCACGCUGCUGUGUCCCUCGCUAGCUAGCAGCCACUGCAUGACCUGUUGUCAUACAUGCUCCUAGAAAUCCACCAUUUGGUUUGUCAAUCCCUUGAACCCACAGGUGCAUAAUAUAUUUAUGCAUGCUCCUGCAAAUUUUUGUCACCAUAAGUUCAAAGAUAAAAGAGAUAUCAUCAUUUCAAUACCCGUUGUUCUGCUGUCCUAGAUGUUGUGCAACACUAAAUUGUUUUGGCGUUCCCCAUUAAUCCAUUGAUCCAUUUGAUGAAUCCUUUGGAUAGAAUAUCCUUCAUAUAACUGCAUAUGUCUCCAUAAAAUUCCAUGGCCAUAGAGCCCAAUACAAAAGAGUUAUAAAUGUUCUUGUGCAUGAUGUGUCCCUGCCGCCCCGCAGCAGCAUUCCUGCCGGUUGGCAUGUGUAUUCCCAUUGUUCCAUUGCUCCAUUGAUCGUGUAUUUCAACCACAGCAUGUUUCAUAUCCCUACACACACCUCUGAGAAAUUUUGUGGCAAUAGGAUUCAAUAUAAAAGAGAUAUCAUUUUUCUUGUGGUCGCUGUCUUUGCUGCCCUGCAGCCGCGCUGCAGCCGAUUGGCGAGUGUGUUCCCAAAAAUCCACUACUACGUUUGUCAAAUCCUUUUACCCACUUGUGUAUCAUGAACUCGUACAUACCUCUGUAAGUUGGCUUGUCCAUAAUUGCCACAGUGGCCGAGAUAUUGAGGCUAUGGUAACUGCUACAACUGCUGUCCAGAAAUCAGCCAUGCCACCCAUCCUAUGUUUGUGUUUUCUGGCUCAUAGAUGGCCAAACCAUCAUUCCCUUUUGCUAGAACAUAACUCAUACCGUCCACAGAGACCCCACACCAUGGAUCAUUGAAUGUGCUGAGAAGAGUAUGCUAUCAGUGAUCAUAAGCCUGUUGUCCGCUGCCGUGCACAACCUGCGUGCACCGAUGUCUCACCGUGCUCCCCUUUAAUGAAGCAUUCACCCUGCUGCAGCCACUGGUCGAAAUAUGUUCCAAAAUGUCCUAUUUACCAAUCCAAAUGGUCAUCAUCAUAUUCUAAAGUAGGUUGUCAAACCUAAGCUACAGGUUCAUCCUCACUUUUCGCUAUGUAACCAUCAUCUCAUCAUUGUUGGCGCGCCGCUUUAUCNNNNNNNNNNNNNNNNNNNNNNNNNNNNNNNNNNNNNNNNNNNNNNNNNNNNNNNNNNNNNNNNNNNNNNNNNNNNNNNNNNNNNNNNNNNNNNNNNNNNCUCACCAUAUCAUCUCACUAUUGUGUAUCCCUUACCAUGUAUAAGUUUCCUUUCAUUAAGCUUGUAUCGAUUGUUUGCUGACGUUAGAAGUGGAGCUACAUGAGGAGUAUAUCUUUGAGAAGAGGAACCAUCGGCAAGUGUUUUGGAAGGAAAGUGUAACAUGAGUACCCUUGUUACCUAAUAACUAUAUAAUUAUCUUUUCAUAUAAUUAUCUUUUCAUAUGCAUGUGUCUAAUUUGAUGAAUCCUUAAGGACUUUACCUAGAACUAUUGUAUCUUGUAUCCUUGUUUACCCUGGGGUUAUGCAUAUGGGUAGUUUGCUUAGUCUGCAAUCACUAAACUAUAUAAUAUUAAUACUGAUUAAUGAUUAUGGAAUCAAUAUUAUAAUGAUACUUUGUAGCAACAUGGAUAUCAGGGGGCUAGAGCAUUGGGCCUUUUUGGGUGCUCUAGUCUGCCCUCCGUAAGGACCAAAUCUUAAAGCGGCAAUCCAGGGCUUACAGUACAACCAUGAGAAUCACAUGGCUCUGAUCUUAAUCAAGUAUCUAGUACGUCUCUAGCUUGUUAGUGGUUACCAAAAGGCGCAAGAGGGGGGUGCCUCGUGGUGUAUAUUUUUGCUCCUACCUUGGUGUGUACAGUGCCGCGACCACAUGUGCCUCUUGGAGGAGGUCUCUAUGCACACUUGCCGCUGAAACCUCGCGGCCACUAACUAGUUAGGGUGUCUAGUGAAAGGUUACGUAGUGAUCCCUGCCGACUUACCUUGGAAGUGAGUCAAGAGGUUGGCCCCCUCGGGCAAAAGGCAAUUACGACUCAUGGGUAAAGAUGUACAUACUCUGCAGAGUUAUCAAAACUGAUAUAUUAGCCGUGCUCUCGGUCAAGAGCGGCCUGCAUCCUUUUCGAGAUAGAUGGUUCUAUGGAUGGUUUGGGUGAUGAUUAAUUUUGAUGAUAAUUAUACUUAUCACCUUGGGAGCUUAAGCAUAACCUAGCAACAUAGGUUUAUUAAUAAAAUAUGACCAACUAAAAAUGCUUAUCGCAGUCAAACCAAGUCAAGCCUUUUGAGCCUUGCAUCCCCUCAUGUUAUACUUGUUGAGUAUGAAGCGCUCACACUUGCUUUACAUUCAACAAUCAAAAAUCCCGGAUGGAUACUAGAUGGUGAUACAAAGGCAGAGUUCCCUGAGAUGUUCCAGGAGUACUAGGCGAGUGUACCCCCAGUCAACCGUCCCUGUGGAAAAUGGAGACCCAAAGUGAAGAUUAGAAUUAGUUUCCGCUAUGCUUUGUAAUAGAUGUAAGCCAUGUUGUAAGUAUGUUCCGAUAUAUAAUAAAGCAUUGUUCUUGAUAUUCUCCAUAUUUGUCGUUAUAUGUGUUGUGUGGACAUUCUGGGCACACAUAUAGUUAACGCUUGGUCUUCUUUGGAAAACCGCGUGCGACACAUACCUUUAUCCUCAUAGGUGCUCUCAAAUCACUCAUUAUCUUUUAUACUGAGGCUGUUUUAAUUUUGCAGAAAUUCUCAAGCAUUCUUACCUUGCAUUUAUUGCCUGAUCAAAACGGGAUCCGAGGAGAGGAAUGCCAUACUCUUAUAUCAAAGACUUUAGAAAUUAAAAACUUGUCAACUCUUAUUGGCAUAUUGCUUAUUAGAGGGACCAUGGGCUAUCAUUUUCUUCUCUCUUCUUUUUUUUUCUCUUUUUUUAGGUGGAUACGGAGGCACCCCUAAUUCUACUGCCGGACACUUGUCCAUUUUUUCUGCGAGGUUGUCGAGCACUUGCUCCUUUUUAUUUCCUCGAAAUAUUCAUAUUUUUGCAUAGCCCAUGCCUCUAAUGCAAUAAUACUUCGAAAGAGUGAAUCUUUCUGAAUAAAAAUGUCUUGAUCUUAGGAGCAUGAUAAAUCUCUCAACAAGGGUCUAACUCAUUUUGAGCAAACUCAAUACAGAGCAGAUAGCUUUUAUAAUUAUCAUAAUUAAUAUUUUUAGGUUUAUCAGGCAUAUAAAACACUAAGGAUGGUAGCUAGAAUUUUUGAAGAUUUUUGAAAUAAAUUCUCCAAGCAACAAUGAUAUCAAGAAUAAGGUACUCAUACUCUACCAUCUCACAUUCCACAGUGACUUAAGUAACACAGGGGUUUUAAAAUCAUUUUUCAAUAAUAGCAAGUUUUUAGGAAAUAUCACAGAGUGAGAUUAAUCAUGAUUAGAAAUAUUUUAAUUUUGUUAAUUUAUCAUGUUGAAGAUAAUAUUCUGCAUGAACCAAGAUAUAUGUGUAUGUGUAAAGUGUGUAGAGUAUGUACCUGAAUCAUGGAGUGGUGUAGUCGAAGUGCGUUUGGCAUGUCGAGGGAUCUUCCCCAUACUUGUUUUUUGCUUUCUUACAUAAAAAUAAAAUAGAGACACACACGACAUAAUAAUAAUAAUAAUAAUCUUUAUUAAUCUUGAGGCAUUUUAUUACAAAUGACUAGUAACGAACUGAAGCUAAUAAUAAAUCUAAACCGAAUUUAAAGAUAAAUAACUAAGAUGCACUGCCUCAAGAUCCAAUCUAGAUAACUUAGCGGCGCUCUAACUCCCUGAUCUUCUUAUUGGCACUAGCAAGAUCAUGCCUAAGACCUAGUAUAACGGUGUUCUGGUUAGAGAGCUACCUAGUGAUAGAGUUAACCAAGGACUGGAGCUCUAUGAUAACCUUGUCUAGCCUACGAACGUCCUCAUCAACAUCUACUAUAGUCUUGCGGCGCUUAGUAGGUGUCUCGAGAGCGUUGAGAGCAUGCUUCGGGGCUGCUUUGGAGGAAUGAAACGGACUUUGGCUGCUCUAAUCCCCUCGAAGUAGGGCCUCUCUGUUGACACUUGCUAACACCACUUGAAUACUAGGUUGUCAUCCCCAGCAUGACACUAGAGUGUACUAUGGUAUUUAUACGCACACAGAUAAAUCCGCAAGCGUACGGAUACCGUUGUAGCUUCUACCCGGUUAAAGGUUUUAUCGUAUCCACAGGGAAACGGGAGAACUGAUCUACGCUCUAACUUAACCUAGAUAGAUAGGUAUGUGUAAAUAGGAA